UUGGCUGAUGAACAGUCACACAGUAUGUACAGUCAUACAGGCCCCUGGCUGCCACCCCCAGUGACAGAAGUUGUCAUCCCUGUUGUCCAGGAGAGCCAUUCUGAUGGUGAUGGGUUGUACGAGACGCCCCGGAGGUGAAGAGGAUGUGUGGUGAGAGGAAAGACGAGUACACCCUGGGGAACUGUACGGUGAGGUGGACCUACAUCCUGGCUAUCAGCUGUGUCCUGGACUCUCUCAUCCUGGCCUUCCUAGCCUUCACACUGGGUAACAGACAGGACAAACCGCUGCCGGAUGACUUCGAGGUGGAGGGGAAAGAAAAGCAAUGAGGCACUGGAGUAAGAAGAGACCACGUCUUAAAACAGCUCAGCUGGUAGAGCACGGCACUUGUAACGCCAUGGUAGUGGGUUCGAUCCCCGGGACCACCCAUACGUAA